rnacentral:rRNA from 1 species
GAUGAACGCUGGUGGCGUGCCUAAUACAUGCAAGUCGAGCGAACGGACGAGAAGCUUGCUUCUCUGAUGUUAGCGGCGGACGGGUGAGUAACACGUGGAUAACCUACCUAUAAGACUGGGAUAACUUCGGGAAACCGUAGCUAAUACCGGAUAAUAUUUUGAACCGCAUGGUUCAAAAGUGAAAGACGGUCUUGCUGUCACUUAUAGAUGGAUCCGCGCUGCAUUAGCUAGUUGGUAAGGUAACGGCUUACCAAGGCAACGAUGCAUAGCCGACCUGAGAGGGUGAUCGGCCACACUGGAACUGAGACACGGUCCAGACUCCUACGGGAGGCAGCAGUAGGGAAUCUUCCGCAAUGGGCGAAAGCCUGACGGAGCAACGCCGCGUGAGUGAUGAAGGUCUUCGGAUCGUAAAACUCUGUUAUUAGGGAAGAACAUAUGUGUAAGUAACUGUGCACAUCUUGACGGUACCUAAUCAGAAAGCCACGGCUAACUACG